GGGGAAGGAAGUAAGGAAACUGCUACUCGUGCUCUGCGUGCAUCCCGCGGAGGCUCCUGCGAGGUCCUAGAGCGGGCUGUGUGCUCAAGCCCUCUCCUGGCGACGCCUGCCCUGACAACUUCUAAAUGGCCAGCCCGCCCCUGGGGAAAAGCAGAGAGGAAUCCUCUUUGGACUCUUGCACCUCAAAGGAAUGGCUAAGAUCAUCCACGGAGAAUGCCAAGUGAAAAGACCACUGAAAGAAACCAGGGGACAAUAACAUUCAAGGCACAGGCAGACGAAAAGAUGCUUCAGAAGAAAACUGAGGAGAAGCUGCUCUAAAGGAAAGAGAAGACAGAAGAGGUAGGCACCACAGCAAUCACUGAGAAGAAUCCCCAAAACAAGUAGCAGUCAAACACCAGAUCCAUCACAGGACAAGCAAGGGCACUUUUGAGAAAUUAUUCCUUUAGGUGAAGAGGAGGAGAACAAUGUGAUUUCUUUCAUGGAAUUCUGCCCUAACACCAAAAAUAAAUUCUGAACUCCUGCCAACUAAUUGAAAUCCCAGCACCAAGCCUUCAUUUCUAGAUUCAGUGCCUAAAGUGCCUGGCAGACAGUAAGAAUCAAAUAAAAUGCUUUCUGAACUGAAUGAAAUAGCCUCCCUACCUGAGAAGCAUCAU